rnacentral:rRNA from 1 species
CCUACGGGAGGCAGUAGUGGGGAAUCUUGCACAAUGGGGGAAACCCUGCUGCAGCGACGCCGCGUGAGUGAAGAAGUAUCUCGGUACGUAAAGCUCUAUCAGCAGGGAAGAUAAUGACGGUACCUGACCAAGAAGCCCCGGCAAACUAAGUGCCAGCAGCCGCGGUAAUACGUAGGGGGCAAGCGUGAGCAGGAUUUAAUGGGAGUAAAGGGAGCGUAGACGGCAGCACAAGUCUGGAGUGAAAUGCCGGGGCUGAACCCCGGCACUGCUUGGGAAACUGUGCGGGUGGAGUGCAGGAGGGGGAAGCGGAAUUCCGAGUGUAGCGGUGAAAUGCGGAGAUAUUAGGAGGAACACCGGUGGCGAAGGCGGCUUACUGGACUGUAACUGACGUUGAGGCUCGAAAGCGUGGGGAGCAAACAGGAUUAGAUACCCCAGUAGUC